rnacentral:lncRNA from 10 species
GUGGGCCUUGGCUUAUGCGGCCCACUGAGGUUUAUGCGGCCUACUCCACACCAGCCACAUGGCUGUCCUGUUCUAUCCUGAGGUAUGUCCCCAGGUGGGGCUGGUGCCCAGGCAGCCUGGGGGGCUCCAGGUGCACCUCAUCCUUCCAUCUGCCCCCAGAAGUGUGUGGAGAGGGCUUUUGGCAGUGCCUGGCGGGGUCCUGGCCAGGCACAGUCAGCUGUGUGCCGAGAUGGCCUUGGCCCACUGCGGCUCAGGAGCCAGACACCAGGAGGCCCAGGGCAAGCAUUUAUGAGUGACUCAUCUGUUCAGACCACCCACAACACAGCUGGGGAGACUGAGGCUGGGGGGGGUGUUCAGAGACGUAGCCAGGCAGGGCCGGGGUGGAGAGACAGGGACUCCAUCCGCCUUCUGAAACUUCAACCGUGACUUAUAAGGGCCUUGCUGGAAUCUUCACAGGCAGGGGGAUCCGAGAAUGUCAGAGCCAGGAAAGGGGUGGUACUUGGCAAGCUUAUUCAUUCUUCCAUUGCAUAACUGAGGAAACUGAGUCACAGGCAACAGUGACCUGUCCAGGCUCUGGGAGCAGCAAGGGUAUGUGUCUGGGGGUAAGGAAGGCUGCGGGAUCUUCCGGGGAGUCCCCAGAAGAGCUCCCACCUGAGUACCAGCGAGAGCUCCUGCCAAGGGCUUCCCCGGGCUGAGAGCCGCCCAGAGGAGGGGUAGGGGUCAGGGUGACAGUGACGCCCUUUCCCACCCUGUCACACCCAGGGAGGGGCUGAGAAGCUGGCAAGGCCCAUUUUACAGAUGAGGGAGGCAAAGGUGAGCAAGAUUCGGCACCUUCCCUGAAGCCAUAUGGAGGGUAAGAGGCAGAGUCAGGGCUGCCCUCAGCCUCCUGCCUGCUCUGGGCAUUGGAGAUUCAGGGAGGAGUCAGUGGGACCCGCCCCGCCUUGAGGAGUCGGAGCUCCCGGGCCUUCAGACUCCACGUCUAGGAUCUGGCCCCAUGUCCCCCAUCCCAGGCCCGGAGCUGCCUGGCAUCUUGUCUUCUAGACCUUUCUAGGUCAGACAGCCCCUUCCCUGCAGGGCCCCCAGUGGAGGCAUUUGUGUGAAGGGACCUGGCACCAGUCACUUCCACCCACCACUUCCUGCCUUCCAGGCUCUGCCCCCAGUGACAGGGUCCCCAUCCCCUGAAAGCGUCUCCUGCCCGGCCCCAGUGUGGCCUCUGGAGGAGUUAAUGAUGCCCAGACCUCACGGUGCCACUGGCCAAGGCUGACCCUGUAAUUACCACAGUUAAGAAUAGCCUCGAAGGACCAGUGAGGACUGGAAUUUCUCAAAUCACUCCCAGAUGGGUGGCCAGGCUAGGGUCCUCUCCCCUCUGCCCCCGAGCCCUGGCCCCUGCUCUGCCAGCCCCCAUGAAGCUGGUGGAUGCCAAGGAUGUGUGCCAGCCCCCCAGCUGUUCUGAGAGGUGGCAGGUCCCCUGCACCCCCAGGCGUCCUGGAAGCUGGAGCCCCCCACUAACUCCCUGGGGUGCCGGGGCCUCUGAGCAAAUCUAGGCUGAGCAUGGAAAGUCUGGAGUGUCAUCUGUGGGCACGGCUAAUGGGGAGGUUGGCAACUGCAUCCACUCCACCACCCUCGAGUUCUUCUGUUUUACAGAUUUUCCAUCUUGGCUUGGGCAGAACAGUGUGUGCCCUUAUGAGAGCUAGAGGAGGCCAGGGUUCGUGCACACACCCCGUCCCCUCCUCAUCCUCACCCAGGGGCCUCCGCUGUGGUCCCACCUAUGCCCUUCCCCUGACAUUUGUGGAGUAUCUAAGGGGAAGCCAGCCACAGUGAGAGGAGCAGGGGCUGGGAGCCAGGCCAGCCUCGAACACCAAGGUCCUGUCUGUGCUCAGGCAGCCUCCACGGAGGGCUGCCCAGCACUUUGUGUGCUUGGUACCAUGCUUGGCGCAGGGUGGAGGUGGGGGGAUAACGAGAGGGACUGGCAGCCUGCACUGAAGGAACAGCUCAUGCUUUGGUCUUGGAGAUGCAGAGAUACACCUGUCUUGGGUGCCACGCUUCUGGGUGUGAAUUGAGCGGGGAUGAGUGUGUGAAUGCCUGUGAGGGGGCUGGGUGAACUGUAUCACCCCCUACCCCCAUAGAAGUAGGGUGUAUUGCUUCUGUAGCUCACAGUGGCCCUAAGCCCUCCCGCGUGGCCGGCAGCCCCACCCGUGGCUGGGGAGCAGGUGCUGGGGUCCUGUCUCCACUUACUGUGAGCAUGUUGUCUUCCCUCCCUGUGGCCACUCCUUUUCAAUAGACGAGGUCGCCGGGCAUGAAACAAGAGCAUGUGUCACCCACAUGGCCCAGGGCCUGCUGCAGUCAGCACCUGGUGAUGGGGGCUCGCACACCCCCACGUCUGCCCCUGGUCCCUGGCCUAGAGUCGGGGGGCUUGUCCCGGGUCGAGGCUGCAUCUCAGCUUGGUCGCCCCCUGGCUGGGUUCUCCCCUUCCCCGAAGCCCUGAUCUGAUGGCACACUCCAGACACUGUUCCAGGGAAGGCUUCCUUUUUUUGGGCCCUGCCACCC